UAAUUAUUAUAAUUACAUUUUUAAAAGUACACUCUGAUUAUUUGAAUAUUAUAUCAUUUAAUUUAUUUUUUCAUAGGAAAAUGCUCAUCGGCCCAAAAAAAGGAUGACAAAGGGCUUGACACCCUUUCACAACCGUCAGGGCCUGUAUGAAUAAACAAUUGGGAGGAAGAAGUGAUUUUACCCCCAAAUGUGUGUAGGUCAGCCCUUCUGUCAUGUAUUUUCUGACAGAGAAGCAUGGUUCUUUUUCAUAAUAUCAUUGACGAAAUUCCAAUUAAAUGGAAAUUUUUUAGAAACUAUCAGUGUAUUCUUAGUCAAAGUUCAACGUAAGUCCAAGAUUCAAAUUAAAGGUUGAUUUUGAAUUAUGAAUCCUAUUUAAAAAAUAAAAAUAAAAAAAUAAUUUCUCGAAGUCUGAAAUUUUCUUGAAACUUAUGAAGAGUUUGGAUAUUAGGCAUGUGUCCGGAAUAAAGAAAAUUGCUUUGAAUGUGAAUUAUCCUUUUCAAAAAUUAAAUAUUAAUAAAAUAAAAUGAUCAUUAUUUCCACUUGUUGUGUUUGGUUUUCCAUUUCUGUCUCCGUUUCCAUACAGCCUAAUAGACAUCUGAGAUAACUCACCAUCCCUUCCAGAAGCCAUCACCUCUCGACUGAGUUUCUGCCGGUGCCGGAUCAAUUGGUGGUUGGCCAUGACCAUCUUUCAUGGGGUAACCGGCCGGCGGUGGUGGAGCCAUGUAUGGAACACCCUGUGGCUCUGCAGUACCUGGCGGAGGAUAUACUGCGGUAAAAACCCACAAAUUCAAACAGUCAAAAACCAUAAUUAUAAACCCUUUUUCAAGAAAACAUUACUAAAAAAAAAAAUAGAUGCACAGAUACCCUGGGGCUGAUUCUGGUUGUAGUUACUCAUUUUUCCCACAAAAAAAGGUCAGAAAAUGACUCGAAAUAAUGUAAAUGUCGAAAUUCGAUGAGAGGUUAAUUCGGGUGGGCGUGUAUCUCUAUAUAUAGGAUGAAGCUGGUGGAGUUGUUGAAUAAAUUACGUAACAAGGGCGGCGACACCGCGUUGAAGGAAGGGAAGGGAAGGCAGAAUAUGGGAAAAUCCAA
rnacentral:lncRNA from 1 species